rnacentral:rRNA from 1 species
AACGUAGGAGGCGAGCGUUAUCCGGAUUUACUGGGCGUAAAGCGCACGCAGGCGGCGCCGUGAGUCGGAUGUGAAAGCUCCUGGCUUAACUGGGAGAGGCCAUUCGAUACUGCGGGGCUUGAGGUUGGGAGAGGGGUGUGGAAUUCCCGGUGUAGUGGUGGAAUGCGUAGAUAUCGGGAGGAACACCAGUGGCGAAGGCGACACCCUGGCCCACACCUGACGCUGAGGUGCGAAAGCGUGGGUAGCAAACAGG